UUUGUAAUAAAAUUUAUUUAAUCAAAUUGAGUUGUAUUUAUAACAUAACUCCUAUAUUGUAAAGAGAAUAAGAGAUAAAGUAUAUUAUUUGGUGCGAUACUAUUUGAAAGAGAUAGGGAGACAUAAUACUUUUGAGACAGAGGAUCAUGUUCCAGAGAUAAGUACUUGCAGGAACUAACCUGUCUCUACGUAACAAAUGUCUACAUUAAUUAAAUCUUUCAAUUAAUGAUAUACACAAUCAUUUUCUUGUGCUUUCAUAGUAUUAGAGCCAUGUAUCUAUUGUGCAUACAUUUUCCUUUCUUUUUCAUGUGUUUGUAUCACAAGAAGUUGAGCUUCAUCUUUAUCAUCACCAGAGGAGAGGAGGACUUACUUCUGGAAGAGGAGGCUGCACUUUGAAUAUGGCCAAUGAAAAAGUUAGUCAUCACGCCCAACUAUUGAAGAUGUCACAUCAUCUGUAUAAGGAAGAGCAAUGUGAAUUCCUCACUUCCCAAGUUACUUGCAUGUUUGGAUGUGUGUGAGAGAAGCUCAGAAUCGUUAGAUAUUCAAAGGAUUGUCAUCUGCAUAUAAAACUGCUUCUUGGCAAUUCUUUUCCUUGGCUGGAAUAGUCACAUUAAAGAACAUUAUUAUUAACAAAUCCACAAAGAUAUUUUCAGUGCUUCCAAAUGGUGGAAACUUGCAGUUGAGAUCAGCAAGUUCACAUUCAUCUCUAUUUUCAUUGUUGCUUAAAUGGUCGUUAUUGUCCUUCUUAGUUGAUGAUUUUUUAUCAUUUUCUUUUACCUCUAUAUUCUUGAGGCAAAAAUUAAUCAUAUUUCAUCAUAUUUUUUCUCUUGUUAUUCUUGAGCAAAAAUUAUCUAUAUUUCAUCAUAUUCUUCUUGAUACUCUAGAGUUAAAUAUUGUUUAUUUCAUCUCAUUUUUGGGCCAAGAAACCAAGAUAUAUACUCUUGAGCAAUAACAUCAUUGAGUCUUUUUUGAUAUUCUUUCUAUUGUAUUAAUUUUUGAUAAAUAAUAUUAUUACUUUCAAUUUCCCUAAAUUUCUUCUAUUCAAUAGUGUUUUUUGGGUAUUGUUUUAUGCAGUCCUUAAGUUGCACACUUUACAUUACACUAAAAAGAUAGAUACUUGUUCAUCUCUAUUCUAUUCAAUUCUUAAUGUUCAUGAAGGUUUCAAAGUGACAAGAACAAAAGAUAAGAAUCUAUGGAUAUUUCAGACUACACAAGGAUUGUGCCGAACAAAAUUUAGAAAUUUGAGCCCGAAUAUACUCUAAAGAUUAUUGGAUAUCUCCUAUUAUAAGACAAUGAAGACCUGCAUGUAUUUUGGAGCUUUCUUCAUUCAAUCAUCUUUGUUCAAAUUAAGAGUUGUCAACAUUCACUCUUUAGCUUGAGAGAGUUUUAAAAUAUAUUUUGGUAUUUUGGGUUAAUAAUUUAUUGGACUAGUAAUUAGUUGAAAUCCAAUUACCUAUUAGUUGAUUAGUUAGUUUUAUUUGUUAGAUUAGUUUGCUACCCCACUUUCGUGGGCACGACGGGAAUAAUGCAAAUAAAUGCAAUGUAGUUGUCAUCGAUGUUAAUUUAAGGUGACACGACAAGACACAAGUCCAAUAGUGCACUAACUCUUAUUGAUUUAAUUAACUUAUAUUUGAAAGUGUCAACUUAAGGUAAGGCGAAAGGGCACGAGUUCCAUAAUGCACUAUCUCACAUUAAUUUAAUCAAAUUAUUUUUUGAAAAUGUCAAUUUGAGGUAACGCGACAUGGCACUAGUCUUAUAGUACACUACCACUCCUUGAUUUAAUUAAAUUAUUUUUGAAAGUGUCAAUUUGAGGUAACACGAUAGGGCACUAGUCUCGUAGUGCAUUACCUCUCCUUGAUUUAAUUACAUUAUUUUUUGAAAAUGUUAAUUUGAGGUAACGCGAUAUGACAUAAGUCCAAUAAUGCAUUAUCUCUCCUUGAUUUAAUUAAAUUAUUUUUUUGAAAAUGUUAAUUUGAGGUAACGCGAUAGGGCACAAGUUCCAUAGUGCACUACUUCUCCUUGAUUUAAUUAAAUUAUUUUUUUUAAAUGAAAUUUUGAGGUAACGUGACAGGCCACAAGUCUCAUAGUGCACUACCUUCUCCAUGAUUUAAUUAAAUUAUUUUUUGAAAAUGUUAAUUUGAGAUAACACGACAGGGCACUGGUCCCAUAGAGCACUAGCUCUCUUUGAUUUAAUUACAUUAUUUUUAAAAAUAUCAAUUUGAGGUAAUGCGACACGGCACAAAUCUCAUAGUCCACUAUCUCUCCUUGAUUUAAUUAACUUACCUUUUACAUUGCAUUUCCUUAUAUAUAAACGCUUUAUUGAUUUAUAAAAGUGAAUAAAAUUAUAUACAUAAUAACUAAAUAAAAAUAAAUAAAUAAAACUUAAUAAUGAAAUAAUAAAAAACGAAAUAUAAUAAAAAAAUGAAAAAAAAUGCAAUAGUAACCAAAAACAAACAUAAUAAAGGGGAAAUUAAAAAUUGGGGAUUUAGGGUUAGGAUUUUGAAAUUGAUUUGAGAACUUAGGUAAAAACUGAUUUGGAUUUUAGGGUUAAAUUAAUUUGGGAAUUAGGUUUUAAAAUUUUAAUUAGGGAUUUGGUUAAAAUUAAUUGAAUUUGGUGAUUAGGGUUAAAUUGAAUUUGGAGUUUAGGGUUAGGGGUUACCACUAUGGUAACCCCUUUUCUGGAAUGGGCUGCUGGGACAGCAACGGUGGGAACCGCGGUGGCAACGACUCCACCGCCGGUUAUAGUGGUUAAACCACCAUGCUCUUGGGAUUAUAAGGAUGUGAGAUUAGGGUUGAAACCUUAAUCUGGUUGGGUCAUUUUGGCCCAACUCCUUUUCAAAAUUUUCCCGCCUUCACUUCAAAAAUUACUCAUCAAAUUCAACAUAUUUGAAAACCAAAUUAACCCCAGUCAAAAACCAAAUGAGACUACUAUGGGUCACAAGAUACGACACGAGACCACUAGGGGUCGGGUGCAAAGAGAGACCACAAGAACACACAGAUAAUAAGGAACUCUGGGUCGGAAACAAAAUGAGACCACUAAGGGGUCACAGGACACAACACGAGAUCACUGGGGUCUGGGUGCAAUGAGGACCAUGAAAACGCACAGAUAAUGAGGAAGAUUGGGUCGAAAACAAAAUGAGACCAAUGAGGGUCACAAGACACAACGCGAGACCACUAGGGGGUCAGGUGCAAAGAAAGACCAUAUGAACACACAGAUGAUGAGGAACUCUGGGUCAGAAAAAAAUGAGAAGACUAGAAGUGACAAGGCACAACACUAGACCACUAGGGGAUCUGGGUGCAAGGAGGACCACGGGAAUACACAGAAACUGAGGAACUACGGGUCAAGAAUAAAAUGACACCACUAGGGGUCACAAGGCACAACACGAGACCACUAGGGGUCUGGGUGCAAGGAAGACCACGAGAACACACAAAUAAUGAGGAACUCUGGGUCAAAAAUAAAAUGAGAGCAUUGGGGGGGUCAAAAAGGCACAAUACGAUACCAUUGGGGGGUCUAGGUUCAAGGAGGGCCACUAGAAUGCACAGAUAAUGAGGAACUCUAGGUCAAAAAUAAAAUGAGACUAGGGGGUCAAAAGGCACAACACGAGACUAUUGGUGGUCUGGGUGCAAGGAGGACUAUGAGAAUGCACAGAUAAUGAGGAACUUUGGGUCAAAAUUAAAUUGAGACCACUAGUGGGUCAAAAAGGCACAACACGAGACCAUUAGGGGAUCUGCGUCCAAGGAGGACCACAGGAGCACAUGGGUAAGGAGGAACUCUGGGUCAAAAAUAAAAUGAGACCACUCAAGGGUCAAAAGACACAACACGAGACCACUCGGGGUCUGGGUGCAAGGAGGACCAUGGGAACGCACAGAUAAUGAAGAACUUUGGGUCAAAAAUAAAAUGACACCAUUGGGGGGGGAGGUCAAAAGGUACAACAUGAGACCAUUGGGGGUCUAGGUGCAAGGAGGGCCAUGGGAACGCACAGAUAAUGAGGAGUUCUGGGUCAAAAGUACAAUGAGACCACUAGGGGGUCAAAAGGGCACAACACGAGACCAUUGGGGGUCCGGGUGCAAGGAGAAUCACAAAAACGCACAGAUAAUGAGAAACUCUAGGUGAAAAAUAAAAUUAGACCGUUGGGUGGUCAAAAGGCACAACAUGAGACCGCUAGGGGGUCUGGGUGUAAGCAGUACCACAAGAACGCAUGGAUAAUGAGGAACUUUGGGUCAAAAAUAAAAUAAGAUUACUGGGGGGUCAAAAUUCACAACACGAGACCACUAGGGGUCUAGGUGCAAGGAGGACCACGGGAUCGCACAAAUAAUGAGGAAAUAUAGGUCAAAUAUAAAAUGAGACCUCUAAGGUCGAAAGGCACAUCAUGACACCAUUGGGGUGUUUGGGUGCAUAGAGGACCAUGGGAACGCACAGAUAAUGAGGAACUCUGGGUCAAAAAUAAUAUGAGACCAUUAAGAGGUCAAGACUUUCUGCCAUGCGUGUAUAUGAUGGUGCGAAUGCAAAUGAUGCAUGAGUAAUACGAAGAUAUUUAUCAUGAUGCAUGUAUGAUGAGUUACACACAUGUGAUUAACUUAAUUAUCAUUAUGAAGUUUGAUUGAUAUAAAACCAUAACGCUUCCUCGGUAGACAACAACUAAUCAAGUCGGUAUUGAUCAUGUCCUAUUUCUCCCAAUAAUUUCAUAUUUCCUCCCAAAAAUCCCGAAACUUCUACAAUUCUAGCUUAAUGUGUAGACACGUGGAAGAUUCUAGUUUACCCCAAUAGUAAUAGACUUUCAAGAUAAUGGCAUUUUCAUUGCACUAACUUUUGCUUAGGUUUCCCUUUCGGGUUUUCAACCUAACAUGCUUUGAUUCAUAUCCUGAUUUUUUCUUAGGUUGCCCUUAUGGGUUUUCAGCCUAACAAGUUUCUCAUUCAUACUCUAACUUUUGCCUAGGUCACCCUUUCAAGUUUUCAACCUAACAUGUUUCUCAUUCAUACCCUAAUUUCUGCUUAGGCUGGUCAUUUUGAUUUUCAACCUAACGGGCUUUUCUUUUAUUUGAAGUUUUUAUUUCUAGGUAUAGACAUUCUUCACUAUGUCUGUGUUCAUAGGUUUGGGUAAAACAUUUCCAUCCAUGCCUUGCAAGACUAGAACAAGUUACAAAACUUUUGCAAAACUUUUGCACCAAUAUAAGGUAAUUGUCCAUUCAUCAAAUGCUCAUCUGAAAUAGCCGAAUAAGCGGACCAUUAUGCUAGCUUUGUUUGAUUAUUCCCAUAACUUCUUGCUCAUUCCCACAUUGCUCGAAGCUUCUAUGAUUCUGACUUGAUGCACAAACGUGUGGAGGAUCUUGGUUUGCCUCUUGUGUGACAAACUUGCAAGAAAAAAAUGCCUUUUUAUUGCUUCAACUCUUUCCUAGCUCGUCCUUUUGGGUUUUCAACCUGGUAGACUUUUAUUGAUACCCUAAUUUUUGCUUAGGUUUCCCUUUCGUGUUUUCAGCCUAAUAGGCUUUUUUUCCUUUCUUUUAGGCAUAGAAUAUCUUAAUCACGUCUGUGCUCACAAGUCUAGGUAAAAUAUUCUCAUCCAUGUCUUUCCCGAUAAGAGCCACCCAUUGAGAAUGCAUUCUUGACAAUGUAGGGACCUUCAUAGCUUGGGGCCUAUUUUCCAUGAGUGUCUUCCUAAUUUGGAAGGAUCUUUUUAAGCACCAAGUCCUCCGCUUUCAAUUCUCUAGAACGAACCUUCUUAUCAAAAGCUCUCGCCACUCUACCUUGCUAUAAUUGACCAUGACAAAUGGUCGCCAACAUUUUCUCUUCAAUCAUGUACAAUUGCUUAUACUUGAGCUUAACCCAUUUUGAUUCUUAUUGCUCUACUUCCAUCAAGACUCUUAACAAAGGAGUCUCUACUUAUAUGGGUUGAACAAAUUCCAUCCCAUACACCAUUAUUGUCUAUCAGAAAUUUAUGGUGCCCAACAUAUUCGUCCAUUAGGCAUAAUUUAUGACUCCUAUCCACACCAUCGACUAAAACAUCAAUACGAUUGGUGGAUUGAUUUUAUAUUAGGCUUGCUUUGUUCAUAUCUCUGUGAUCUACACACAUUCUCAAUUUCCAUCCUUUCUCGGGUACUAAUACCAUAUUAGCCACCCAUUCUUAGUUUCUCUCCAAUUGUUUUAUUACCUCUUAUUUUACUCCUCGACCUUCUUCUCGAUUACCAAACUCAAUGUGAUCAUUAUCAGGUACCGCAAAAGAAUCAAUUGAUAAAUGUUCAAGUAUCCUAUAAUUGGACAAAGUCUCUACAAAAUUCUGGUACAUGUAUUGAUUUGUGAAAUAUCGGUGAAAGAAAUGAGACACAAAAUAUGGAUGUUGGCAAUCAUAUGGAAGAAGGGUAAAUAUAUGAGAGUGGAGAUGAUACAAAUGGAUGAAUUGGUAGGAAUCAUUAGAUAGUCAUGCAAAUUCAAGAUAUUGUCUCAAGUAACAUAAAUAUAAGUCCAAAGAAAAUUCAAAACGUAUGAAUUACAACAUAAUCAAAUAAUUAUAAUGCAACUAUGUCAAUCAUUGGCUUAGACUACCAUUUUUUUAGAAAGAUCAUUGUCUUCACGAGGAAGGAUGACAUAAUUUAUUAAUGGUUUGUCUUCCUCUAAGACACUAAUGGAGAGGUGGAGAUAAGGAUCAAUGACAAAACCCUUUCUCAUCUUCCUGUCAUCUAUGUCGACACCUAUAUUCCUUCAUUUUGUGAAUUUUUUAGCCUUCAUUGUUGUUCGAGCUCUAGUGUUGAAAAUAUGAGUUUGAUUAGUGUUGUCAUUCUUAGGUUGCGCAAUGAUUCCAAUUUUAAAUUUGUGAUUCCUAAGGAGUUUGAUUUAAAAAAUUAUUUUGAGUUAUUGAAACUAUUUCCAUUAUCAAAUGAAGAACUUUCCAUAUAACAAGUUGAUCAUCCCACAAUCAUUUUCUAGGGUUAUAACCCCUCUAGAUAGCAUAGUGGUUGACGACAAUCCUAGAGAGCACACAAGCCCCACAAUAAGAUUGCAUUUGUUCUGCUGAGUAUUCAUGGUCUUAGGAUAUAUAGAAUGAGACAUUGCUCAACAAAAUAUCUUAAAAAACAUAUGAUAAUAGUAGUCCCUUCAUACAUGUGUAUGCAAUUGAUGUAUGAUUCGAUGCAUGCAUUUCACAUAACUGGCAUAAUGAAUGUUGCAGUGACAUGAAUGUAGUGUGAAUCCCCAAUUUUCUUUUCUUUUUCUUUCAUUUUUUUUGGACGUAACAUACAUGAUAUUGAAUGGUUUGUUGUAUGUAAAAGUUUUACAUGGGUGCAUGAAUGCAAGUAUGUAAUGCAUUUUUUUGUUUUUGUUUUUUUACACAUGACAUGCUUGUAGAUGCUACUAUGAAACAAUUUUUUUUAGUUCAUGAUAUGCACAUGGAUGUUAUGACUUUUUUUUUUGUUUUUUGCUUUUUUUAGUGCCUGAUAUGCAUGUGGAUGCUAUGAUUUUUUUUUCCUUUUUUAUUGACAUACAUAAAGAUACUAUUAUGGUAUUUUUCAUGAGUGCGUCGUAUGCAUGUGGAUGCUAUGAUGAUUUUUUUACAUGCAUAUAGAUCCUACUAUAAUUACUUUCAUGAGGGCAUGAUAUGCAUGUGGAUGAUUUUUUUGACAUGCAUAUAUAUGCUACUAUAAUUUUUUUUCAUCAGUGCAUGACAUGCAUGUGGAUGGACUAAUGAAAUGUUUUUUGUGAGCCUUUCAUAUUGGCAUGAUGAUAUCCAAGUGCAGCGGCUUACACCACUCAGGCUCAUGUGAUGGUGAGUCACUAUGAUCGCGAGAAAUUAGUUUUUCCAGCUGCAUGACAAAUAUGAAAUAAAUAACGAAAAAAUGUAUAGUAUCGUGUUCUAUAUAAGGGUAUUUGAUCCUACAAUGUUGGUUCACUCUAAAAGGUCACAUCCUAAGGCGAAGUACUAAUGUCCAUAUAUGCAGAAUUUAAUGGUACUAGACUUCCUCUAGGUCCUCGGACUGCCGUCACUAGUGGAAGCUGACCACCCAGAUACACAAAUAUGAUACGAAGAUGUACGAGACACCAUGAAGGUCAUAUCCAUAUUACCCAGUAACAAUUCGAGUGAUAUAUCAGUGUAAUAUCGAAAUAUGCACAGAGGCCCAAUGAUGAUAAGUCAAUGUAUCUCUAACAAUAGUAAAUAGGCACAGUAGACCGUUGAUGUAAUAAUGGAUGAUAGGUGCAGUACGUGCGAGAGUUCAAACCUCAACAAUUACAAUGCAUAAUAACCCAAAAUAUACCCCAAAACCUGUACAUGGUAAACACACACAACUUUUAUAUACAAAAGUUAUUUACAAAUAAAUAGUUAAAAAAUAACAACAAAAAAAAACAAAAAAUAAAAUGAAACGAUAAAAUUAAAAUAAUGAACUAAACAUCCACAAAAUUAAUCUUUUAAGACAUGACUUUCAGCUAUCCCUAGUGGAGUCAUCAUGUUGUCGCUAUCCCACUUUCAUGGGUGCGACGAGAAUAAUUCAAAUAAAUGCAAUAAAGUCGCCAUCGAUGUUUUUUAGCGAGAAAACAAGAAAAACCAAUUUUAAAAAUAAGUACUGAUUCGUUCAAAGAGAACAUUUAAGUUCGGGAGUCAGUUACUGAUGAGGAAGGUGUUAGACACCUCAUAUCGCUCUUUAAAAACGGUACCUAGAUUAAUAAUGUGGAUUUUCGUUCAAAAUAUUAAUUUUACCAUCAUAUUAUUAAAUGAAAUAAAGAAAAACCAAAAAAAAAUUAUAAUUUUUGUGUCUGACAGAGAAAUACCUGCUCCUACGUAUCUCUAGUUGCAAUAGAGAAAUCAAGGCUACGUAGUUCUUUCAGAAAAUAUUUGAUUAGUCGAUAUACUCUUAUUUAUUUUAUUUUAAUAAUAUGAUAAGAUAACGCGACAAGACACAAGUUCCAUAGUGCAUUAUCUCUUCUUGAUUUAAUUAAACUAUUUUUUUAUAAUGUCACUUUGAGAUAACACGACAAAGCACAAGUUACAUAGUGCACUACCUCUCUUUGAUUUAAUUAAAUUAUUUUUUGAAAAUGUCAAUUUGAGAUAACACGAUAGGGCAAUGGUCCUAGAGUGCACUAACUAUCUUUGAUUUAAUUACAUUAUUUUUUGAAAAUGUCAAUUUGAGGUAACGUGACAUAGCACAAGUCACAUAGUGACUACCUCGCAUUGAUUUAAUUAAGUUAUUUUGAAAGUGUCAAGUUAAGGUAACGCGACAUGACACUAGUAUCAUAGUGCACUGCCUCUUCUUGAUUUAAUUACAUUAUCUUUAAAAAUGUCAAUUUGAGGUAACGCGACAAGUUACAAGUCUCAUAGUGCACUAGCUCUCUUUGAUUUAGUCAAAUUAUUUUUUGAAAAUGUCAAUUUGAGGUAACGCGACAAGGUACAAGUUCCAUAGUGCACUAUCUCUCCUUGAUUUAAUUAAAUUAUUUUUUGAAAAUAUUAAUUUGAGGUAACGCGACAGAACACGAGUCACGUAGUGCACUACCUCUCUUUGAUUUAAUUAAAUUAUUUUUUGAAAAUGUUAAUUUGAGAUAACACGAUAGGGCAAUGGUCUCAAAGUGAUCUAGCUCUCUCUGAUUUAAUUAUAUUAUUUUUUAAAAUGUCAAUUUAAGGUAACGCGACAGGAAACUAGUCUCCUAGUGCACUACUUCUCCUUGAUUUAAUUACAUUAUUUUUUUAAAUGUCAAUUUGAGAUAACGCGAUAGGGCACAAGUCACAUAGUGACUACCUCUCGUUGAUUUAAUUAAGUUAUUUUUAAAGUAUCAAUUUAUGGUAAUGUGAUGUGACACAUGUCUCAUAGUGCACUAUCUCACAUUGAUUUAAUUAAAUUAUUUUUGAAAUUGUCAAUUUGAUGUAACGCGAUAGGGCACUAGUCUCAUAGUGCACUACCUCUCAUUGAUUUAAUUACAUUAUUUUUAAAAAUGUCAAUUUGAGUAACGCGAGAGGGCGCAAGUCACAUAUUGCACUAUCUCACAUUGAUUUAAUCAAAUUAUUUUUGAAAUGUCAAUUUGAGGUAACGCAAUAGGACACUAGUACCAUAGUGCACUACCUCUCCUUGAUUGAAUUAAAUUGUUUUUUGAAAAUGUCACUCUGAGGUAACGCGACAAGUCACUAGUCUUAUAAUACCUCUCCUUGGUUUAAUUACAUUUUUUAAUGUCAAUUUGAGAUAACACGACAGGGCAACGGUCACAUAGUGCACUAACUUUCUUUGAUUUAAUUACAUUAUAUUUUAAAAUUUCGCGACAAAGCACUAGUCUCAUAGUGCACUACCUCCAGUAGCGGAUGUUAGUGAGAGGUGGGGGCAACUGCCCCGGAUUUUUAUUUUCAAAUUUUAAUUAUAGUUUUUACUUUUUUUCUUCAACAUAUAUACUUUGUAUAAUUUGUGUGGUCUUUUUAAAAUCAUAGAUAAUUGAUCAAAUUCUUUUACAUAUAGAUAUUGAUAUUGUUUAUAAUAAUAUAUUCAUAAUUAUUUUACUCUUAUGAAAUAGAUUACGAGAAUCAUAUAUUGUGUUUGUCAAACUUUACAUCAAAAGUCCUAGGAUCCUAUCAAAUUUUAUAAAUUAUUUAAUAUUAUUGAUAGUAUAUAUAUUUUUGUGCAAAAAUUAUAUCCUAUAGAUUUCAAUGAAUAAGAGAAUAUUGACUUAAGAUGUCAAUGUCAAUAUUUUAUCAUUGAUGUUAUUGGUCAUUCUUGUCUAAAAAACUCUCAAUCAUCUAUGAAUUAAGUGUAACUUUGACAAUACAGGAAAUAUGAAAGCAUAUUAUUUAUAUGAUCGAGUUAUUCGUUUUAUCUUACCUUAUGUUUAACUGCUACACAUACAUCAUUUUCAUAACGAAGACAACCAAAUAAAAUCAUGUAGACAACAUGAUUAUUUAUAUUGAAAAGAAAAUAGCUUAAAAUUUUACUCAUAAUUCAAUAAUCGAUAGAUUGAUAUAUUUAAAAGAACGAAUAUCAUCACUUUAAAUAAAUACACAUUUUUCUUUAAUAUCCUCAAUUAUUAAUUAUUGUUAUUUAGAAUUAACAUAAUAUUUCGAAACUUAAUUAUAUUUCAUUACGUUUUUUUACUAAAUUAAUCUUAAUUAAAUAUUAUUGUUCCUCCUAAAUGUUGCACCAAGAUCCGCUACUGACUACCUCUCCUUAAUAUCAAUUUGAGCUAACUCGAUAGAGUACAAGUCACAUAAUUUAAUUAACUUACCUUUUGUAUUGCAUUUCCAUAUAUAUAAACGCUUUAUUGAUUUAUAAAAGAGAAUAUAAAAUAUAUACAUAAUAAAUAUAAAUAAAUAAAUAAAACUGAAUAAUGAAAUAAUGAAAAAACAAAUAUAAUAAAAAAAAAUGCAACAGUAACUAAAAACAAACAUAAUAAAGAGGAAAAUUGAUUUAGGGUUUUAAAAUUGAUUUGGGAACUUAUGGUAAAAUUGAUUUGGGGUUUAGGGUUAAAUUAAUUUAGGAAUUUGGUUUUAAACUUUAAUUAGGGAUUCGGUUAAAAUUAAAUCAAUUUAGGGAUCAGGGUUAAAUUGAAUUUGGAGUUUAAGGUUAGGGGUUACCAUGGAGAUAACCCCUUUUCUAGAAGGGGCUGUCGGGACAUUAGCGGUGGGAAUGGUUGCAGCAGCAACUCCACCGUCAGCCACAGUGGCUAAACCAUCAUGCUCUUGGGUUGCUGGAACAAGAAAAAAACAACUGCGGUGUGUCCAACAAUAAUUUUGGUUUUCAAAUACGGGAAUAAUUUUGGAUUCCCAUAUGGAAGAAGAAGAAAUAAGUGAGAGACAUACCUUUUAGAACUUAUGGAAGAUGAAGAAGAUUUAGUCUCCCUCUUCCCUCUUUUUCAAAAGUGAAUCAGCCUCAUUUGCUAAAGUAGGAUUAGGUUUUGUCUUUGCCUCUCUUUUUUUAGAAAUUUUGAUGAAUAGGUUUUAGUUGCUAUCUUUAGAUUUUAUAAAGGGAUGCGAUUAGGG
rnacentral:lncRNA from 1 species